AACCCGGAAGACUUUUUAUUUUAUUCAAUCACCUAAUUUCUCCACCUAAUUUAUCCACCUACUCUUCCACCACUAAUUUUUUCUUUUCCCUACCACUAACUUAUUUUUAUCUAAUAAACAUGAGUGGAAGUGUGAUGAGUGAAGAUAGGAUUAGUGUGCUAAGGUGGUAGGGAACCAAGCUUUAAUCAUGAAUAAUGCUUUGUCCUUAAUCAUUCUUCCAUUGCAAGACAAAGCUCAUCACUUCACUCCCUCACACUUCAAUUCUCGGCCUCCCCUCUCUCUCUCUAUACUCUCUUUUCCUCUAUUAAUGUCCAUUGAAGAAAGCUUAGAGAAGCUUCAUCAAACACUACUAUGAGAUAAUCCACCAUCCAAUCCAAUCAAAUACUAUCAUAUCUCAUCAAAUUCAAGAAGCUAGAGCUAAGAUCAAAGUUGGAGCAAAGUCUUGAUCACCUUUUAAAUCCUUGAGCUUUGUGACCAGGGGGAUUAGCGCUGCUUUACCAAGACAGGUUUAUAUGUGAUUAUGAUCUUCAGGCUUUGCCUAACCAGGUUGGCUGGCCGGUGCUGACGGGACGGAGCUGAGGCUAGAGUUAAAUUCCUAUGUUAGACUUCCGCUGUAGCAAUUACUCUUAUACAUCUUUUGUUUUCUCAACUUAAGAUGACUUCAUGUCGAGCUUAAAUUUGAAAUUCUAGUUUUAUGCUAAUGAAUGUUGGUUGUCAGAAACAUGAAACAAAACUUGUGAUCCAAAGGGGCAUAGCCCGACUUUCUAUCCUAUUUCGGGUUUUUACAAGGUUGUUCCUUGUUUAUUUCUA